UUCCAGAUUUUAUCGAAAAUUAUUGCAGACUUCUAGGAAAAACACUUGGGAUCCCUGAUUGUGAGCCAUACCUCAUAACGAACUGUUAUCAACGGUAACUCAAUAAAUUGGUGUUUAACGCAGAAAAAACUAAAAGAAAAUUAUGACCCCCGAAAAUCUGUUUAGAAUAGCUGUUCGACGUCACAAAACUGAAAACUAACAAAUGGCAAUAAAAACAUUUCAUCCUCAUUCCUCAUACACUUUUAUGAUCCAUCAACAUAUAAAUCCAAUUACGAACACUAAUCACACCCAGGGUUGCCACUAUUUUUCAAAGAAAAUCUGGUAGUUCAACUAAAAAUGUCUGGCAAAAUCUGGCAUUUGACAGCGACCUCAAAAUCAUCGAAAUUUGGUAUACGUUUUAGGUUUCAUAGAACCUGCAUCAAUGGAUUUUUGUAAAAUUUGGGACAUUAUUACCCAAAUUUCCAAAAUGUGUGUGUGUGAGCAGCUUCCAAAACUUAAAAAUCUGGCAGAAUAAGAGGUUUGUCUUUUUGUCUGGAAGCUGCCAAAAACUCUGGCUGUGCCAGAUAAAUCUGGCAUAAUGGUAUCCCUGAUCACACCCGUUAUUUUUAUUUGUUUCUUUUGUUACAAUAUAUGCAACUCGAUGCAACAGGAAGCGACGACUAAAAAACAAUAGCCCAAAUACAUCAGCAACAAGAAGGAAAACUACGCACAAGAAAAUAGCAAACCAGAAUCUCUCUACUAUCUAAUAAUUUUUUGCCUCCGAUUAUCCUCUAUGUAAUGUAUCUGAAACUUGUGGAACUAGUUAACAGCCGGCGCCUGCUUGAAGAAGAAACUGGUGUACUAUACGGACUAGCACAUGCGAACAGUUAGGCUUUGUAGGGUCUCAUCUUGACAGAGUCUAGAUGGGCGGAUGAACGUCUGCCAGAGUUCGGACUGAGAAAUGACAAUGAAAAUGAUGAAAUCUGCGAGCCUACAUCUAAAAUUUCCGGGAAUCAGAGGGAGAAGAUUCGUCUUGUUUGAUAUUUUCCCGGCAAAUGGAGUAUUCUAGCCGGAUCUGUAGGAAUUCUUAAAAAUGCACCGAUCAUGCUGAUGCUGGAAUGAAAAAUAACUGCAAGCACGCCAAAUGUAAUACUAGUGAAAAAGAUUCGCACCAAAGCUGUUACCUUUUCUGAUGACGAAGAGUUUGGAGAACCUCAUCAUGCACACCGAAGUGGUUACGAGCGCAUAAAAACAAACGAUGCGCAAAAGUCUCUAUUCUUUUCAGAUGAAGAUGAAUUGCACUUGACCCUCGUCUAUGUACCAUCUGUAAAGAAUGGACCUCGAUUGCGAUAUAACGAGUAGGAAAGAUCUGUUCGUUCCCGUCACGGUAAAACGGUUUCUACGAAACCUCUAGAUUUGUCGCCCCUUCUGCGAUUGAACAUAAAAUUCGACGCCAUAGUGCUGCAAAGGGUGUGUUCGAUGCUCACGCGAAUUGAGCUUAACCUGUACUGCAGCUGUUAAUAUUGUCGAAUCGCAACCGAGUGUCAUGCCUUCAAAGCUACAUUUUUGUCCUCGUGAACAACAUUUACUUAUCGACUUAUGACCGAAACGUGGUGCUCACCUUCCAUGUAUAAUUCCGUCGAUGUUCGUUCAACCUUUUGGAAGAGUAGAAAAAUAAUUCGUCGAGCAAUAUGAAGCGGUCGUACUGCAGGAAGGAGAGUCUAAUUAGUACUGCACAAUACGCCAGUGUCCCAAAAACGAAUGUUAUACGACUACCGUCAGAGCUGCGCAAAGUUGUCUAGAAUAACGCGGUUAUCAUUGACAGUAAGUUGAGAAUCGAGAAGAUAUGUGUCGGAGUUCUAAUAUUUUUUUCUCUCGAUUUUCCAGUGCCGCACAGUGGGACGGAAUCAAAAAAGCCGGACAUUUAAAUUUUUGCGACGAAACUAUUGGUUAUGGCACUUUGAUGUCUUCGGAAAGGUUUCUUUAUUUUUUAAGUAGUUGAAUAUAAUGUUAUAUUAAACUGUGUAUAUACCCCCUUAAAUAAAAAUUUCCCAACAUUAUAUUAAACUACUUAAAAAAUAAAGAAAUCUUUCCGAAGACAUUAAAGUGCCUUAACCAAUAAUUUCGUCCCAAAUAUCAAUGUCCGGCUUUUUUUGAUUCCGUCCCACUGUGUGCCGUAGUGCAAUGAUUGCUGACAGUAAGCCAGAAAGCCAUGGAAAGCCUACGCCUGUUUUGGUCGCUGCAUUGGAUGAUAGGGUCUGCGUUCGAACUGUACUCUAAUGAGGUUUAUGAAAAUAUAAGUUUCCGUCUAGCAAUCCGAAUUACGGGGAACGCUCAAGAGGGAACUAGAAAGCUGCUAAAGAAGUAUUAAGAAUUAAUCAAUUUCGAAUGUGAAUGUCAGUGAUAGGUUGGACUCCAAUGAGGAAGAUAUUGGUGCUGAAGUGCUUCAUGAUUUUACCACCUUUAACAUGUAACCAACUGAGCUGUAGGAAAAAGCCUCACGAGAGGGAAAAAGAAACUAGUUAUAACAAAAAUUAACUCUUCCAUAUGGACCCAGUAUAUUUGCAGAAAUAAAACGCCAAAAUACUAUAUAAUGCAUAUAUUUUUCAAUUGAAUCGAUGCCUUUUGGUCUAACGACCCAUUUUCUUUAACACCAGUUUGAUUAUCUAGAACUACGUUUUUUCCAAAAAUCAAUCCGUCGUAUCAUUAAAUGUCUAAUUUGUUAUCUUUUUUGUUUGCCCCCUAACAACUAAAUUAAUUUUUUUCUGCCGCUAAUUUGA